rnacentral:lncRNA from 1 species
CGUCGUUUGCAAGUUCCAACUACCGUCAACGUAAACGCGGAGUGAAUCGGGUCGUGGCUGAGGCUCGCGUUGUGCAUUGGGGGUUUUGCAAUGGAGCAUCCAAAGUACCUCGCUGCUACAUAGUAACAUCGAGUAAAACAUGCCUCAACACAUAGCACAGCGGCCAAGCUUCCUCAUUAAACAUGUUGCAUUCCUCCAGCGCCAUGUCCACCAUAGCACCGCCAUGGCCACACUGUUACAUGUGGAAAAAAAAAUGACGUUUAAAAACAAUUUUGUCUAAUUUGAAAGUACUCAGAUUUUUAUUGUGCAACUCAUUUAUUUUAAUAAAAAAGAAAAGAUCCUAAAAAAAAGAACAAAAAAAAAAGAAAUUUCAUAAAAAUGUAAAUGAUAAAAAUAAAAUCACAAAAAUUUGUUAAGUUGUGAAGGAAUUAUGAUAAUUUAUUUUGCGUUAUAAAAUAAUAUUUUAUUCCUCAAAAUUCUUGAGAAUAAAAUUUUAGAAUUGAGAAAAUAUAGAUUUAUAUACUCACACUCAUCCAAACAUAAAUCUAAUCAGAAUAUGUAGCAUAGUAGUUAGCUUAUUUCAUCCCUUGACAAUGAAGUUAGAAGUUCGAUUUUCACGCAUGAGAAUUUAGCGUAUUUUGUGGCUAGAUGUUUGCAGCGGGGAGAUUAGUCAUUGUUAUCAACACCUUUGGUUAAAAAAAGAGAUUUCAGAAAAUCAAAUUUAUUAUAUUAAUUUAAUUAAUUGAUGUUACUUUCAAAAAAAAUUAAUCAUAUACGGUGAAUUCAUUUAAUUCAAAAAAAAAAAUAAUCAUAUACAUUAUUAAUAACAUCAAUUAAUUAAAUUAAUAACAUCAAUUAAUUAUAUACAUUCUUCACAACAUGUUUAAUUGAUGUCACCUUUGGCCGCCGUAGUUAAUGAUUAUUCGAACAAUUCGAGCAAGUUGGUAGCAUAUUCUCUGCAUUCAUUUUUUGAAAACCCACCAACCCUUACUGAAAAACUUACCUUCGAGAUGGAGUCUGGGCAUAGUUCUAUAGGUUCACUCAAUGGACUGAUAUGCUUGCAUGAUCGUAAUGAUUGUUUUAGACUGUGGAACCCUUGUACCAAAUUGAAAUCCAAGAUAUCACCCCUGCUUUUUCUAAUACUACCAU